CCCACUGUGGCUUAGUUGGUAGAGCACCUGAUUCGUAAUCAGGCGGUCGGGAGUUCGAAUCUUCCCAGUGGCU
rnacentral:tRNA from 1 species